rnacentral:lncRNA from 1 species
AUCCUAAUCAAGUUACUAACCCUUUCCAUCCUCACCUGUAAAAUGGGAGCAAUUCACAUACUCACUUACUUAUUUGGAAAUAUUCACCGAGAUCCUAGGAUGAGGUGGAUGCUGCUCUAUUCAUGAGGACUACAUCAGUGAACUAGACAGGAAAACAUCUACCUUCACAAAGCAUCCAUUCUCAUGGGUUUCAAAGAGAACAGAGACAAGCCCGUGCCCUGAAGCACGUCAGUGCUACCAGAGGAUCAAUACAAGUCAUUAUCCAGGGGAUAAAAACAAGCAAGUGGCAGAGUCAGGCCUGCACGGAGUCUCCAGACACCAGACACAAUUUUCUUCCUACCCCUCUGCCAGGCAGUCAACGAUGCUAUAUUCAUGACCUAACUUCCACAUCUUGCCAGCAUGUUCCAUGUGUAAUCCAGAGCUGUCUACCUAGGAUCACUGAACUAAAGUUGAACAGCAUUGAAGCAACAAGGAAGAAGCAAUGUGAGGUGAGGAAACUGACUUCAGUGCGGUGCUCCAGAAUCUGUGUAGAAAGAUUAUAUGACAAACAGAAGAAUUCCAAGUUAUGUCAACCUAUGCAUUUUAACUUUCCC